GUAAAGGUGGCUCAACAGUUAAGGGCACUGUCUACUCCUCCAGAGGACCUGGGUUCAAUUCCCAGUACUUACA
rnacentral:tRNA from 1 species